AUCUAACCCACUCAGCUAACCAGCUGCACAGGGAUUGAACACACUACACCGAGGAGGAAACGGAAGCUCAGAAACCAGAAGGGACUUGCCCAGGACGGCGCAGCUGGUGGGCCGAGAGACAGGCCAUUUCUGGCAGCCACACCGUUGACAGGCUUUUUCCAUCACACUGAGGUCACCGGCUCAGCCCUACAUUUGCUUUGUAAAAAUUCGCCAAGCAGCAUCUCCCCGCAGGACCAGUUAUGUGUGCCUGAUCAGGGCCAGCUCCCGCGUGUCAUUCAAUCUAGAGUGAACAGCAUGGCAGCCGCCUCCUCAGGUCCCUACCCUCCACCUGGGGACCACACAGAAGAGCGCAGCGCCUGAGUGGGCGCCUUUCCAUGAAGGAGUAGGGGUGGGUCGUCCCUGGAAGAUAAUUCUCAGCAAAGCAUUUCCUGGGAAAUCAUUGGCAUCAUUCCCCACCCCCUCCCUCCUCUUGCUGGUGUCCCCUUUAAAAAAAAUUUGAUCAAUCAAAAUAAAAGAACAAGCAUGGUUGGGAGACUCGCACUGGAGAUGCUCCCUGGUCCCACGCCCAGGUUAACCCUGGAUGCGGCUCCCCUGCCUCAAAUGCUAGUGUGGUAUUUGUUCAUGAAAAAGGAAGGGGAAGUUUAGCCUUUGGGGACAUGACGACAGCUCUCCCCCUGGGUGCUGCUGCCUUCUGCCUUGAGCUGUUUGGACCAAACCCCGCGGCCAGCCUGGCAGGAGGCGCGUACACCUGGAUCCGCAGGAGGGGACAGCAGCCAUCCCCACAGAGUCACAGAACCGAGCCGCCAGCCCUGCAUGUCUGUGGGUCUAGCUGUGACAGAUCCCGACACCUUGGGCUGUUUUCCUUUUUUUGGACAAUAGAUCUCAACAUCAGUAGCUUGUUUCUGAUGCUACAGAAAAAUCUCACCUCACAGGAAUGAGCGAGGCUUGGGAGAUCUUCAUCUCCUGGGGUCCAUUCGUGUGGAUCUGAAGAAACUGUGACCUCUCUUCCCAGAACAAGAUGCGCCUAUACACGCACAGGAUGUGCCCUGGUGGGGGCACCCGUUUUCCCAGGAUUAUGCAGAUGAUCAUAAAGUAGCCCCCCAACCCCGCAAGCUAGGUCACAGGUUGUGGAUUUGGAACUCACCCCCUUGGUUUACUCCAAGAAGAAAUCUAAUGUCAAAGCAGCUUUGAUGAGUGGGCUGUGGCAGGUGGCUCAGUGGUAGAGCGCUUGCCCAGCAUGUGCGAGGCCCUGGGUUCCAACCCCAGCACCGCCAAAAAAAAGCUUUGGUGGCACAUACAGAUUCAGGUACAGAUACGAUUCAGUUGCAGAGUAAGGAGUCCAACUCUCUCACAGGUCUUCCUGAAAUGAGCCAAGGGCCUCAUCAAGGUGAAUGUCCCCACUGAUUCAAAAAUAUAAAAGGAGAUGGCAAGAGAAAGCUUUUGGAGACCACUGUUGUUCUUGAACACACCAAAUUUAGGUAGACCUGCUAAAGAGAGAGGCCAUCAAGCAACAUGACCUUGAAAAAUGCAAAACUCAUUGCCCCAAAGUGAAACAACUCGGACCAAUGGCAGUUUCUGGAAAUAACUGUCCCACACUGCAUUAUGGGUACCCAGCGCUGCUCUAUGCCAUGGAUGUCCUAAGCACUCUGUGAAGGCCAGGCCAGCAUGAUUGUUCCCACAUAGAGGUUGCAACUAUACAGGAAGGUCCAAAGAGACAAAGUAAUGCCCAAAGGGAUGCGAUGGCUAGGAGGAGAAGUUGGGGGUCAGCUGCUUGCCAGCCCAAUGUUCAUAGGAACUGCAGGGGGCUCAGACACCAUCAUGGGGUAAUCAACUAGCAAGUCAUGGAAAAGCUGCACUCGAGUUUCGUAACCCAGAUGGAUGUCUAAAGGUCUACCCACAAUGCUUUGGCAGCCCUGGUGUUGAAUUCUCUCUUCCAAAAUAAGUGCUUGACACCCUCGCCUUGAAAGAUAUGCUACUGUCCCCAAGAUCCUCUCCUCCUGCCCCGACCGACUAGUCAGUGGUUGCUAGAGUUAGAAGGGACACCAGAAAAAGACGACAGAGAAAGCCAGAAAAGACGAGGGAAUGUUGUAUAAAAGAGAAGAUCCAUCCUAAUGUAGGUAAGAAAGUCACUGGACUCCCGGAGCAGAAGACUGGGGGGCAGGACCCCCUAACGCCACCAAGGCCCAGUCCUUCCAGCUGCCUGGCCAUCUAGCACCCAACCCUAAGCCAACAUCACACAUUUCAGGGUCGUGGUUACAGCCGAAUCCCACUUCUGGUACCCAUGUUUGGGUAGGCCAGGUUAUCCUGAGGUAGCAAGCAACUUCCCAAAUCCAACUCUCCAAUCCCCAAAAUCUGGAUCAUUCUGUGGGGUCUUUUCAUGUGAAGGAGAGCUAGACCAGACUUUGUCCCAUGUGGGGGCAGUAAGCAGCUGAGUCUGCUUCUGUUACUAUUACAAACUGCCUUAGACUUUGUAAUUUAUAAACCACAGAAAGUUAUAGCUCAUUGUUCUGGAGGCUGGGAAGUCCAAGGUCAAGGCACUAGCAGACUUGGUGUCUGGUGAGGGCCACUCUCUGCUUCAUAGAUGCCCUGUUGCUGUGUCUUUGCAUCACAGAAGGGGCAAACAGCCUCUUUUGGGCCCCUCUGGUAAGGACGCCAACUCCAUCCAUGAGGGUAGAGCCCAUGUGACUUCUUAAGGCCCAAUCUCUUAACACUGUCACCUUGGAGAGUAGGUUCUACCCUGUGGAUUUUGGAGGGGCACAAACAUUCAGACUAUAGCUUAUCAAAUAGUGCUUGUUGAUGUCCCAUUGGUCAAAGGAAGUCACAUGACUAAACUUAUAGUCAGGGCUAGAGGGCCCUGCCCAAGCACGUGGCUAUUGGCAACCAUGUACCUUACACAUAAACAAAAGUAUCUCCCCACCCAUGUAAGGCCUGAAACUGCCAUCAUUUCUCUUUGAGGCCUCUGAACUAAGAAUUGCCUUCUGUUGGCUUGCUCCUGGAAAAAUCAGGCAUGACUUCAUUGCAUAUCCUAUGACUCAUGAUUUUAUUUCAAGGGAUAUAGCCAAGAGAAAAGAGUGCUUAUGUCUACCAAAAGUCACACACAAAUGCACAUGGCAACUCAAACGCCUAUCAAGAACAGAUAAACGAAUCAUGAUAUAUUCACACCAAGGAAUAAUAUACAGCAUUGAAAAAAAAAAAACAAAAGACUGCUACAUGCAACAACAGGAUAAAGAAGCCACAUAUAGGGGCUGGGGAUGUGGCUCAAGCGGUAGCGUGCUCGCCUGGCAUGCAUGCGGCCCGGGUUCGAUCCUCAGCACCACAUACAAACAAAGACGUUGUGUCUGCCGAAAACUAAAAAAUAAAUGUUAAAAUUCUCUCUCUCUCUUUAAAAAAAAAAAAAAAGCCACAUAUAUGCAAGAACACAUAUCAUACCAACUAUUUUCAAACACAGACAAAUUGCCAGGCAUGGUGGCACACCUCUAUAAUCCCAGUGACUCUGGAGGCUGAGGCAGGAGGAUCACAAGUUGGAGGCCAGCCUCAGUGAUUUAGUGAGACCCUGUCUCAAAAUAAACAAUAAAAAAAUGGGGGGUUGGGGAUGUGGCUCAGUGGUAAAGCGCCCCUGAGCUCAAUUCCUGGUACCAAAUAAGUGAAUAAAUAAA